AAAUCUUCUACAGCCCCUCCACCAACGAAAGGAGGAGUUGAUCUCAGCUCGGAAAUAGCUAAUGGCGAUACAUAUAGUACACCCAGCCCAGUAGGACAACCGAGUCCUUUAUGACAGCUGAAGGCGCAAGCAGAAACAUUCAAAUCCUGAACGUCGAUUUUGCUCAACCCAACCUGUUGCGUAAGGUCUGCCAAAACAUGGAUUCCUUUUGGCCUGAACGCAUUAGCUAUGUCUUUAACGUCAUUUUUCUGCCCACUGUGGAACAUUACCGAAGAUAACCCAAUUGCUUUAGUACGACUGUCAACAUAAGGAGCAAACGUUGAAGCAUUGGCAUGGUAUUGACCUUCAUUUGGUACUAGUCGAACUUCAAGGCCAUCGUUUUGAAGAGCAAUCCAGCCAAACCCUUGAUUAGGAUGCUCAUUAUCUAAAAUAACAACAUUAUCUCCUGGCUUCCAUUUGAGUGAUCUCUGAAAUAGAUUGAGGCCUUCUGUUGUAUCGCGAGUGAAUGUUAUAGAAUCUUUGGUGGAUGCAUUCAGCAGCUUCGCUAACAAAGACCUGGUUUCUUCUGUCCUCUCCUUCCACAUGGGUUUAGGAUGCGGAUUGUACAGUCCCUCGUUAAUGUAGCCUUGAAGAGCUGUACUUACUAACAUAUUCAUGGGCGCUUGGAAUGAUUGAUUCAAGUAUAUAGUCUUAGUGUUUCCCUGUAGUAAAGGGACAUAGCUUCGAAAAGCUUUAAUUUUCGCUAAAGCAUUCAUUGUGUGUAAACAUCAAUUGAAAUUGACAAAGAGUAUUUGCCUUAUAUAACAACUCUCCUUGUCAUGUUGUAUCUAGUUUCACUGGACAUUAAAGUCCGGGUCAUUUGAUUUCUGUUUACUGCUGGUGUCGGUAUUGUUAUGACCCUGUGUCGGGUGCCAUACUAGGACUUUAAUGUCCGAGUUGUAAUGUAUGUAGGAAUACGGAUAGAGUAGCACUUUAAUCAAAUUAAUAUAGUCGGU